rnacentral:lncRNA from 1 species
CGGAUCGGCGAGGCACUCUUUCCGUCGGGAAGAGGGCCCUCCUUUACCCUCCAUAGCGGAACUCAGCUCUCCGCACCCGAAGGUGACCACGGAGGCACAGAUCGCGACGAUCGUGUGGCAAAUGACCGUUCUGACAAACGCGGUCAAAAAUCUCCAACAACAACCAACUCAGUUGCCGCAACUGCCGGCGGAAUGACCGACGGUGCACCCUAUGCCGUCCAGAAGCAGCUGCCGAUGCCCGCAUCAAC